rnacentral:rRNA from 1 species
UUUUACAAGUCUAUGGCCGUGUAAACAAACACAAUCCCAUCUGAUUUUGGAAGCUAAGCAGGGUCAGGCCUGGUUAGUACUUGGAUGGGAGACCACGUAAGAACACCAGGUGCUGUAGGUG